CUUGUCUCUAUCCCAGGACAUGAGCAUCUGGCAACAGAAGAGAUGAGAAGGAAUAUUUAAAUAUGUUUCUAUCCACACAUCCUGGCUCAUGACUCUCAAAGCUCUCAUUAGUCUUUUCUUAUAAUGUUGGGGCACUUUGGGCCCCAGAAGCAGGCCUCAGAAAACAGAAUUUCUCUUUCUGACUUUCUCCAGUCCUCCUUUUACCUGCUCCUUUUUCUCCAAAGGGUAGAAAUCUUCCCCUACCUUUGUACCUUGGAGCUGGCCAUACAAAAAUUUCUCUAACCUACCUUGUUUGAUCAUAGGUCAUAUGAGCUGCAUUUCAGAGGCGGUCCUGUGCCAUACCAUGGAGAAAGGAAUGCUGCACAGAGGCCAAGAUGAAAUCUCCACCGACAGACCUUGCUGGAUUUUCCCACUCAGUCUGUGACUAUUAGAUUAUACCCCUUUGUCCAAUUGCAUUUGUACACAGUUGUUCAUGCUUCAGUCAUGCCUAUUCAAUGAAAUUUCCAUAGAAGGCCCAAGAGGAAAGAGUUUGAAGAGCUUCCAGAAAACGGAACAUGUGGAGGUUCCUGGAAGAUAGCAAGGCCGGAGAGAACAUUGAAGCUUUGUGAGCCUUCCCUCAUACCUUUCCCUAUGCAUCUCUUCAUCUGCACCCUUUGGAAUAUCUUUUGUAAUAAACCCGUUUCCUGGAGUUCAGUAAGCUGCUCUAACAAGUUUAUCAAACCCAAGGAGGGGGUUGUGGGAAUACCAAUUUACAGGCGGUUGGUUAGAAGCACAAGUUAAACAACCUGGGGCUUGUGAUUGACAUUGGAAGUGGGGGCAGUCUUGUGCGACUGGGCCUGUGGAAUCUGAUGCUAUCCCCAGAGAAAUAGUCAGAAGACAAAUGGAGGACAGCAAGCUGGUGUUGGCUGAAUAAUUGAUUGCUUGCUUGCUGGUAGGGAGAGAUCCCUACACAUCUUGUCAUAUAAGUCUUAUGUUGAUUGCUGUGAUGUGAGAGCAGAGGAAAAACAGCUGGAGUUGUUUUUUUUUUUCCUAACCGUAGUAUAAAAUGUAUUCAAAAUACAAUAAAAAUAUUGCUGAAUUAAUAUAGUCUUUUCAAUGAUAUGUUUUGUUUGACUUGUCAUAUCAUUUAUGCCACAGCACAAAUUUUCUGUCAUCACACUAAAGCUCUUAACAUGGUUUUAAAACUCCUGGGGUUAUAAAAAAUGUAAGCUCAGUUAACUUUUUAUUUCAUUGCUGAUGUUAUUAAUAAUGCCAGAUUAAUUUUGCUGUCCACAACAUUGAGCAAUGGUGUAGUUUUGCCAA
rnacentral:lncRNA from 1 species